AAGCCAUGAUGAGGACACUUUAUUAGUAGGUCCUUGAAUCAUUCAUGUGCCUUGAAGAGAGUUUCCAAAUCACCCUGUCUAAAAGUUGAAAUUUCUUGCCUCAAUCU